UGGGGAAUUUUGGACAAUGGGGGAAACCCUGAUCCAGCCAUCCCGCGUGUGCGAUGAAGGCCUUCGGGUUGUAAAGCACUUUUGGCAGGAAAGAAACGUCAUGGGUUAAUACCCCGUGAAACUGACGGUACCUGCAGAAUAAGCACCGGCUAACUACGUGCCAGCAGCCGCGGUAAUACGUAGGGUGCAAGCGUUAAUCGGAAUUACUGGGCGUAAAGCGUGCGCAGGCGGUUCGGAAAGAAAGAUGUGAAAUCCCAGAGCUCAACUUUGGAACUGCAUUUUUAACUACCGGGCUAGAGUGUGUCAGAGGGAGGUGGAAUUCCGCGUGUAGCAGUGAAAUGCGUAGAUAUGCGGAGGAACACCGAUGGCGAAGGCAGCCUCCUGGGAUAACACUGACACUCAUGCACGAAAGCGUGGGGAGCAAACAGG
rnacentral:rRNA from 1 species